rnacentral:pre_miRNA from 1 species
GGGACCCAGUACUCCUCCAUUGAACUCAAAAAGCAGAACCUGUGUUGACUUCAAGAGGAGCAAGACUGAGCCCU